AUACAUGCACCUUGAAACCGACCGUCUCUAUGGUCUUCCCUGCUUCAGUCUCUGUACAGAAGCAGGGAAAGCCAUAGAGACGGACAGUUUUCAAACAC